AAACGAACUUGGAGAUAGCUGGUUCUCUCCGAAAUAGCUUUAGGGCUAGCCUCGGAAUUAGGAUCAUGGAGGUAGAGCACUAUUUGGACUAGGGGCCCGUCUUGGGUUACUGAAUUCAGAUAAACUCCGAAUGCCAUUGAUUCAUAUCCGGGAGUCAGACGAUGAGUGAUAAGAUCCACCGUCGAAAGGGGAACAGCCCAGACCAUCAGUUAAGGUCCCUAAAUGUAUGCUAAGUGGAAAAGGAUGUGGAGUUGCAUAGACAGCUAGGAUGUUGGCUCAGAAGCAGCCACCAUUUAAAGAGUGCGUAA
rnacentral:rRNA from 1 species